UACGUAGGGUGCAAGCGUUGUCCGGAAUUAUUGGGCGUAAAGAGCUCGUAGGCGGUCUGUCGCGUCGGCUGUGAAAUCCCGAGGCUCAACCUCGGGUCUGCAGUCGAUACGGGCAAACUAGAGUAUUGCAGGGGAGACUGGAAUUCCUGGUGUAGCGGUGAAAUGCGCAGAUAUCAGGAGGAACACCGAUGGCGAAGGCAGAUCUCUGGGCCGUAACUGACGCUGAGGAGCGAAAGCAUGGGGAGCGAACAGG
rnacentral:rRNA from 1 species